UUUUUUUUUUGUUUGUUUUUUUGCUUUGUUUUGCAACUUUGAGCCAGAGAAAGGCUAGCAUUUUCCCUCCAAGCUGACUCGGGGAAGCUGAAACACAACAAAGACCUAUUUGAUUUGUGCACAAUGAACAGGGAUUUAAAAACGCAGCCUUAGUGGACAGCUCUACCAGCCAGAGAAAAGUUCUUCCAGAUCUUCCUCCCGUCAGCACGAUAAAAUGGUACUAUACUUUGGUUAAAUGUAAAAUCAGCUUUCCAAGAACAGUGGAAUAUCCUUUCUCUUCCAUCAGUUCCCUAGAUUCUCUUCGUUACUACAUUCUCUAGCCUAACAUUCAGUCCCUGCUGAAUUAACUAAUAUUCAGAUACAUUCAAGAUAGAACUCACACUCAGUUCUAUCUUUCCAAAAUUUAAGAGGAUGAGAGGUCUUCACUCGCAUGGUAACAAACGCAGCAGCAAACCCCAUAAAACUGAACAUCAACUGCCUUCUGGAAGUUCUCAUCUGGCAAGCUAGUGCAGGUAUCUUGUGCAUGGGUCAAGAGAGUGAAGCUCAGAGCACACUGCUUGGCACCCAGCAGGUGUUCAGGACAAGUUUUAGCUCAGCCCUCCUAGAAAACUAUGAAAUAAAAUCCAAACAAAAGUAUUAAGAUUGAAAUAAAAGGAUGUUUUUCUAAGAGUAUCAAUAUAUGGAAGUGACUUGCCCAAGAAUAGACUCAAACCAACCAAAACCCAAUAAAAUGAGAUAAUUGAGAAAGCAGCAGCAGAAAAUCAAUGUCAGGUUUUCCACCUCAAAAAGACCUCUUCUAAACUGAAUCUGAAGAGGGAUGGGAGGAGGCAGAACGAGAACAUGACACCGCUCCUCGGGGCCUACAAGAAGGUAAGGUGACUGCAGGGCUGUGAGCCGUAGGGGAGUUGCCAUUGUCAGCAUCAGUCAGGGAGGCUGGAGUGAGCAGACCAGGACAACUCCACAGCUUCGGCAGCAAAGGUCCAGGACCAAGGAAAGCAAGUACACAGAUUGUGCUUCACACAACAAACACAGCAGUUUCCAAACAGCACAGCCUCAGUUCGAACCGGCCCAGGAGCACACCAUGUCCUUUCAGGACCUGCCCCUUCCAGUGCCCUAGGGCAGACUAAUCUCUUAAUGCUUUAUUCAACUUCGUAAAACACUGGUGGCUCAUUUUAUGUGUUUUGAAUUGGUGAAAGGAUGCAGGUUGGUCACGGGUUAAGCUCGGUAAGUCAGCCUUGCAGAUACAAGUGGCAGCUUAAUUAUCCUGGAGGCAGAGCUCAUUGCCUAAGAGCACUUUCACACGAGUCUCUGCUUUUCCUUUAUCCUAGAGGGCAAGCUGGCUGGUUACUAAUUAUACCGUCAAAAGCUGUCCUAGGCUCCUGAGUUGCUGCUGAUAUAAGUGUUUCAGCCUAAUAUUUGGACUCUAAUAGAAGGCAGCACUUUUGGUUUGGUAAGAGACAAACUGGAAGGCUGGGCAACAAGUAAGUUAAAGUUGUCCAUUUAUCAAACACAAUGCCUAAGAGACACAGAGGCUCCCUUCUGUUUCCAUGCACUGGCUGUUUCCACACAGCUGAAAGAGAUGAGCUGUGGACACUUAGACCUUGUAUUGAGAUGAAUUCACUGGCCAAGAGGAAAAGAAGAAAGUGGUUGGGAAAUAUUUUUUGGAACUGGUGGGGCAUUCCUGUAAGGGAAAUCAAUCUAAAACUAAACAUUCUUUCUACAACAUGUGUAUAAAAUACACUUUUUUAUAUAU
ensembl:lncRNA